UACUCCAGAAGGCCUCUCAGGGAUUGCAAAAUUCAUCCUCUAAACCAGGAUCAACCCUCUCACACCCUGGACACCUUUCAGCGAGGAUCAUUCUCCAAGACCCAAGAUCGCCCACCCAGGAUUCACUCCUUAUGUAGUACAUAAGGAUUCAGAAUUAAAUACCAGACGGCAGGCUCCCUGGAUUAGCCCUUAGGAGUCCGUUUCCACAGAAUUACCCCUGAAGACCGGAGAACUCCAAAAAAACCUUCUUAAACUUGGUUUUUAAGAAGGUAAGUCCUAAAACGCUUGAGCCUCCAUUAACGCCAGGAGCCCCCAGGAAUUAGGAAGCACUCAUCUAGAAACAAAAGCAAGCGCCCUCCACUCCAGUUAAUCUCUAGAAAAUAAUCACGGACGCCCGGAAUUAACCCCCGAACUUGGCCGCCGGGCUCUGCCCUCCCGGACGCGCCCCUGAAGGCCAAGGCGGACCCCGCACCCUGGCAUCCAACCCCGAGUCCGCAC
rnacentral:lncRNA from 1 species